GUCAGGAGCUACUGUUGUAUUUUGAGUUCCAUUCUUCUGCUGCAUUCUUCUCCUUGCCAUAUAACCUCUGAUCCAAGGGGUGACAUCCUCAUUUAUCUUGAUCAUUAUAAAAAAGAUGAUGCGGUAUGCCACAAUCAUGCUGAAGAGGACGCUGAGAUCCACCCAUUUUGAUCGGUGCACAUCUAUCUGGAAUAUAUUUUCUAGUAUGUACUCACCAGGAACUUUGGGAAGAUCUGGUGAUUGAUUGUCGAACAACAAGCCUCUCA
rnacentral:misc_RNA from 1 species